UAGAUGUUAGUAAAAUAAUUACUAAGCCUUGUCAUGACUUAAUUACUAGUUCAAUUCUUGUACAUCUA
rnacentral:tRNA from 1 species